AUGGUGAAGGAACCACGGAGUUUCUCUGAGCACCUAAGAUUACUCUGCUUCAAGGAACUCCUGAGUGUGUGGACAGAAAAUAUCUCUGAGGGAUUCCCAGGAGCGACUCCAGUGAAAGACCAAGAGAAACCUAAAAGCCUCCCAAGAAUGAAGUCACCACGGGAGCAAAGCAGGCAGCUGAGUGAACUCUGGAGCUCUAAUGUACUGUCUUUUGCAGACAACAGCGCUUCGGUGUUAAAGCCACAAGACCAAGAGCAGACACAGCAUCCAGAAGAAAACCUCUAUUGGCAAGCACAAGACAGUGAUCACAGAUGUGGCCCCAGACGAUGGAAGGACAGGAGUGCAGCACGCUGAAAUGGAAUACUGCACGCCUGCAAUCGCCUUUCCCUCUGGUAUUUAAUGAGAAAUAAAAAGCACAUGUGAAGGUUUUGUGAUCAUUUUAUUUAUGUGUUAAAAAUACUAUAGGUAACUCUUUUGGAAUGUCCUGUUCUCUCUAACAUAAGUGGAUAUUUGAAAAAUAUUUGGUUAGAAAAAUUAAAAUAACCUAAAUUUAAAAUCCAUGCACAAGAAUGACAAAUACGAACAUGCUAGUGGUUAAAAGCAAAACAAAACUAAAAUAGAAUUUCUCUCAGAAAUAAACCAUCUCCACUGCAUGCUUUAGAAAGAAAAUGUAGACUCCUCAGUUAUGGCGCAUCUGAGUAUGCAAAGAAUAUAUUUCCCCACUUCCCCCAUCCAGAUCUCUCAUUUCAAAUCCCAGGCGUGUUCAUUCAAUUCCACACUCUCUGCUCACACUGCUGAAAAAUGCUUGGGUGUUUUGUGCAAAUUCAAAGCUAAAUAGGAAAGAGACAGAAAAAGAUUUAGAGGCAUAAUAAUCUUGAAAGAAAAUAGUUCUGUAUCAUGUUUGUCAGUUAGUGGGUGAAAAAGUGAUUUAUUUAGGAAGUUUUAAUUGAAUAAGAACCUUUAAAAUGUCAUCUUUCUUCAAAGAAAUAUUUGUACAUAUCAGAUAAGGAAAAUAUAGAAUGUUCUUGCUAACUCCUUGAAAAGAGCCAGAUCAUUUGGGCUAUGUAGUAAAUGGAGGAUUCUGAGUGUAGCCCAGUGCUUUCCUUGGAACCUCUGGCAAUUAACUUUCUAGCUAGGUGUCAAGUUUUAUAAACUGCUAAGUGACCAGGCAGACAGACUGGCUCUACAAGGUAAUGUUUCCAAUUUGACUCAUGCUUAUGGUCUUUGACCUUAAAAGUCAUUUGCAGUCCAAGUGACCCAGACAUUCUUUCUUAAAGCUGGUAUACGGAGGGAUCAGCUUAGACUUUUGGAUUUUGGUUGACUUUUUGCAUUGCUGUCCACAGACUUGGGGCAGCAGGAGAUACCUGUUAUAGGGAAGAAGGAAGAAAGGAAGAGAAAAGAAAAGGAAAAGAAAGGACCAAAAUACGUCUCCUGGAAGCAAAAUAUAUCCCAAACUUGAAAGAGGAGUCAUAACUUAAGUCAAAAGCAUGAAAUGUGUUAUAAGGAGGUCUUUUCCUUAAAACAAAUAUAUUACUAAAAGAGUAAACAGCGGUAAGCUGUAAAUCAUAAUCUUUUGCCUAAUGCAUUCCUAAAGUUUCAUCCUGAGAGCAAACACCAGUGAGAAAUGGACACUCAGGAACCCAGAUAACUCAAAAGUUGGAAGGAAGCUGUCUGCAGUCAUUUUCAUUAAAGAGAUAAGAUCACCUGGCCCUCUUCAGUAGCUUUUACACUUAAUGUCCCUCCCUCUUGACUCUUAAAACUAUAAACUGAGAAGAAAAAACCCAGCUUUGCGCCGCAACCCUAGGAAUUUAAGCAAAGACAGGGUAGGGAACAAUAAAAAUAUUCAUGGCCAUUAUGAAGAUUUACCAUAACAUUCAUUAUGCUUUCUUGGUGGAAUUAGUUUCCCAUGGCCUCCUUUCUUCAACCAAGGAAAAAAUAUGCCUUCCAAAUUCCACUUUUUUGUUCCUUCUUGAGCCAAAAAUAUAAUCUAUAUUUGCUUAAAAUAGGCUUCUGGAAAGUGAAAGAGCCUUUAUCUGCCUGUGAGAAAUGGAAUUAACUGAAAACCAAAUGGAAACUUUGGUAGGAAUACUAUGGUGAAUGGUUAAAUAUUUACAAUAUAAGAACCAGUUCAUUUGAAAACAAAUGUACAAGUGCCUGGCUUCCUUCCCUGCCUUAGGAGUCAAGAAUGUUCCGUUGCUGAGAAGCGCCAUUUUAUUGACAUUCAAGUAAAAGAUGUGGUUCCGCUCCAUCUUGUCCCUUCUCCCUCACCCAAACAGUAGUGUCCUCCUAAGAGAGACCCUCACCCCUUCCCAUAUAUGAGGACACAGUGAGCAGAUGCCAUCUGUGAGCCAGAAGUGGGUCCUUAGGAGACACAGAAACUACUGGCAUUUUGACCUUGGACUUCCAGCCUCCAGAAUGGUGAGGGAAAGAUAUUGAAGAGGAGUUGGACACCCUGAGAGUGCAGCUGUUCUCCCGCCGCACCAUCCCUGUCCUGCAUUCUGCGAGUCUUUGCUCAUCAACCAUGUGCUGGAACCAUGUGGCUCAGCAGUCCUACUGCUGGGUAUGUACCCAAAAGAAAGGAAAAGGAAACCAGUAUAUUGAAGAGAUAUCUGCACCCCCAUAUCUACUGCAGCACUGUUCACAACAGCCAAGAUUUGGAAGCAUCCUAAGUGUCCAUCAACAGAUGAAUGGAUAAAGAAAAUGUGGUACAUAAAAACAUGGUACAUAAACACAAUGGAGUACUCCAGCCUUUAAAAAAAUGAGAUUCUGUCAUUUGCAAUAAUAUAGAUGGGACUGGAGGCCCUUAUGUUAAGUGAAAUAAGCCAGGCACAGAAAGACAAACAUCACAUGUUCUCACUUAUUUGUGGGAUCUAACGAUCAAAACAAUUGAACUUCUGGACAUAGAAUGGAAGGCUGAUUACCAGAAGCUGGAAUGGGUAGUGGGGUUGGGGGGAAGGUGGGAAUGAUUAAUGGGUACAAAAAAAUACAAAGAAUAAAUAAGACCUAAUCUUUGAUAGCAAAAAAAAAAAAAAAAAAAAAGAUGUGGUUCCAGGAAAAGAAGGUAAGACUGAAUACAAGAGCUAUGGUUCUGCAAACUAGUAUUGUACCAGAUGAGUCCAUUCUGAUGAGGUUGUCCUUUAAAGACAAAUUCACAAAGAAAAAGUGCCUAGGGGAAAAUGUGUAAUUCUGACAUCAAGCAUAGGAGUGCCUCUAGCACAACUAAGUGUAGUCGUCCAAUUUCCCAAAACUAAAUGGGAUAUAAAGAAUGGAAGAACAUUCAGCCAUGUGCAAUCCCAGUACUUUAGGAGGCCGAGGCGGGUGGAUUGCCUGAGGUCAGGAGUUCAAGACCAGCCUGCCCAGCAUGGUGAAACCCCGACUCUACUAAAAAUAUAAAAAUUAGCCAGGCGUGGUAGCAGGUGCCUGUAAUCCCAGCUACUCGGGAAGCUGAGGCAGGAGAAUCCCUUGCCCGGGGAGGCAGAGGUUGCCGUGAGCCGGAGAUCGCACCGUUGCACACAAGCCUGGGUAACAGAGCAGAGAGACUUCGUCUCAAAAAGAACAUUCAAACUGUCACAGACCUAAAGGAAACACUGGAACUAUGUUCUUUAGGCUAUUGGGACCUAUAUCUCAUGCUGAAUAUGCAGUUCUGAAACAAGCAGCACAAACACUUACUCCAUAUUAGUUCAGAUGUUAACACACUGAUUCAUUUCACACACUUCUUUGUAAUUUCUGCUUUGUUUCUGAGGCACAGCCCAACUUUGAAAAUAUCAGGACAACUACUCUUUAUAAAAAUGUGACAGAGGGUCUGUCUGUUCCCUAAGGUGGAAGGAAAAGGAAAGAAUGACGGUGAGAAAAUCAAGCUUCACCCAAACCACUGCACAAAUAAAUAAAUAACCUCCAAGGCUCAAUAGCCCAAGUUUGCUUUGGUGCAAAGGUGGUGGUUUGGGAACUAGAAAAGUGUGUAAAAUAAUUCCUAUCAGCAAUCCUUCUUUGUACUGUUUGUGUUUUCUCUUAAUCAGCGUUAGUCCAGCCUCUCUGAAGGGACGUGUUGGGCCUGCCAGGCUAAUGUACCAGGUGACUCUGCAGCUCCUGACAGGGUUUCUGGAACAGUCUGAUGAUCACUUGAGCUAGUCAUUUGGUAACUUCCUGUGGCAGGUGUUGGCCCAGUGUGAGGCCCUCUGCAGUGCUGAGACUCUGUCCUUGACUGACGGGAGGCUUUUUUUUUUUUUUUUUUUAAAUACUCGGCAAUAAAAGGCUCUUGGAGGUAGAAAUGAAAAAUCAAUGGAGAAAACCACAAAAAUCCCACCCAAACCAGCUUCACUUUUCUAGACUCUUUCUGUUAUAAGGGCUGCUUCAGGUUUCCACAUUUCCCUGGAGGGCAGGAUGCUUAAGGGUUUUAAUCCUAGUCCCUUCAAAUCACAUAAUGGUGCUGAUAAGGUGCUUUCUCCUGCUGACCCAGGGAAAAGUGGCCCUUCAUCCUUUCGUCUGUUCUGGGUAGAAGUGACUGUUGAAUGAUUUAAAAGAGUCAUUAAAGAGUGGAGAAAUGCAUCCUCACUACGAUGAAAGACUGACAGUUACAUAGGAAGACGGUCAUGGGGUUCCUCGCCCUGGUUACCCUACGUCCCCAUCUUCUCACUGCCUCUAGAGCUGGACAUUGCCACACAGUCCCCUGCCCUUUCAGCCUCUGCCUCCCCGUUCUCCACUCACAUUUCUUAAUCCCCUGUAGUCGGGCUUUCAAGUUUGUCCAAAUGGCUCCACCUCAAUUGCCAUCUGCCUGCCUUUUCUCAGUGUCCACACACUCCCUUGCUGUUGGCAUUGCCAACCAUUCCCUCCAUCUAAAACUUUCUUCCCUUGGGCUCUGAAACAGUGUGUUCUUAUUAGUCCUCCACCUGUCACUUGUGCUAGGUUUACUUCUUCCUCUAAGUACCAAGGUACCAGCCCUCCUCUCCUGGGCACUUCUGCUCUCACCCUCAGGGAU
rnacentral:lncRNA from 1 species